UUAAACUCAGCUUGACCAUUGGCUCCAUUGCCUCAAAGGGUCCCCAGUGACUGUCUUUGUCAUUCAUAGCUGAUUUGUUUUUCGUGAAGUUGUCGUGAUAAUUAAGCAAAUAGAUGGCAAAUCACUUUGUAGCGUCUAGAAAUCACCUGUCUUCAUGUUUAUAUCAUCAUUGUUUAUGGGGUGCUGUUCCUUCUCUGUGCUCCUCCCCCCACAUAGAUACUUUUGAAAAAGCCAUGCUGGUAUCAAUUUAGAGAUCAUAGAGAGAAUAAGCAGAGGCAGGAAUGUGUUGAAUGCCACGUAACAGCCUCCAGUUAGAUCCUUCCAUAAGUAAGACUCAAAUGAAAGCCAGGUGUCAAAGCAAUGGAGCCCAUGUGGAUCAUAGGAGUCAACUACUAGGACACAGUUCAGAACAGAAAACGGAUCAGAGGGUGGAACCCUCCAAUGAUUGAGGUACAUAUUAGCCUUCAUCUCUUAAAGGAUCCAUCAACAUUGCCACAACGUACACCUAACUUGAAGAAGAAGGACUUUUGUUGGAUAAGCCACAACCAAACCAACUUCAAGCACAGCUCAACAUCAAGACUCUGAGAUUGCCUAAGAGGAAAAUGUUAAGUGUGAAAAAUAAAGACAACCCAGGAAGGGUUCUGAGGAUGGUGAAUGCUACACCCUGAUCAGAAACAGGGCGAAUUGCAAAGGAGGAUUGUUCUUUAUGACCUUUAGUUAAGUCGUGUUUUCAUUUCUUGUUACUAGUCUUCUGACACAGAAGCCUUCAAGUUGUG